rnacentral:tRNA from 1 species
AGUGUGGCUCAGUGGUAGAGCUAGCAUGCAGGGAGGACCUGGGUUCAAAUCCCAGCACU